AUUGAACGCUGGCGGCAGGCCUAACACAUGCAAGUCGAGCGGAGCGGCGGACGGGGAAGUAAUGCCUAUGAAUCUGACUGGUAGUGGGGGAUAACGUCCGGAAACGGGCGCUAAUACCGCUUACUAUCAGAUGAGCCUAGGUCGGAUUGGCUAGUGGGUGGGGUAAGGGCCUACCAAGGCGACGAGCCGUAACGGGUCUGAGAGGAUGAUCAGUCACACUGGAACUGAGACACGGUCCAGACUCCUACGUGAGGCAGCAGUGGGGAAUAUUGGACAAUGGGCGCAAGCCUGAUCCAGCCAUGCCGCGUGUGUGAAGAAGGUCUUCGGAUUGUAAAGCACUUUAAGUUGGGAGGCGUUACCGACAGAAGAAGCACCGGCUAACUCCGUGCCAGCAGCCGCGGUAAUUC
rnacentral:rRNA from 1 species